rnacentral:rRNA from 1 species
AGUGGCGCACGGGUGCGUAACGCGUGGGAACCUGCCUUUAGGUUCGGGAUAACAGUUGGAAACGACUGCUAAUACCGAAUGAUGUCUUCGGACCAAAGAUUUAUCGCCUUUAGAUGGGCCCGCGUUGGAUUAGGUAGUUGGUGGGGUAAAGGCCUACCAAGCCGACGAUCCAUAGCUGGUCUGAGAGGAUGAUCAGCCACACUGGGACUGAGACACGGCCCAGACUCCUACGGGAGGCAGCAGUGGGGAAUAUUGGACAAUGGGCGAAAGCCUGAUCCAGCAAUGCCGCGUGAGUGAUGAAGGCCUUAGGGUUGUAAAGCUCUUUUACUGGGGAUGAUAAUGACAGUACCCAGAGAAUAAGCUCCGGCUAACUCCGUGCCAGCAGCCGCGGUAAUACGGAGGGAGCUAGCGUUGUUCGGAAUUACUGGGCGUAAAGCGCGCGUAGGCGGCUUAUCAAGUCAGGGGUGAAAUCCCGGGGCUCAACCCCGGAACUGCCUCUGAAACUGGUAGACUAGAAUACUGGAGAGGCGAGUGGAAUUCCGAGUGUAGAGGUGAAAUUCGUAGAUAUUCGGAAGAACACCAGUGGCGACGCGACUCGCUGGACAGUUAUUGACGCUGAGUGCGAAAGCGUGGGGAGCAAACAGGAUUAGAUACCUGUUAGUCAACGCCGU